CUUUUGAUUAUAAUUUAAGGUCUAGCCUGCCCAAUGAUAAAUAUUUAAUGGCCGCGGUAUCUUAACCGUGCAAAGGUAGCAUAAUAAUUAGUUUUUUGAUUGAAAGCUUGUAUGAAAGGUUGAAUGAAAAAAUAACUGUCUCUAUUUAAAUUAUUUAGAAUUUUAUUUUUAAGUAAAAAAGCUUAAAUAUAUGUAAAAGACGAGAAGACCCUAUAGAGUUUGAUAGUUUUUUUUUUUUUUUUUUUUUAAAANNNUAUAAUUUUUAAUUUGAAAGAUUAUUUAAUUGGGGUGAUUAAAAAAUAUAUAAAACUUUUUUUUUAUUAUUACAUUUAUUUAUGAAAUUUUGAUCCUUUUUUUAAGAUUAAAAGAUUAAAUUACCUUAGGGAUAACAGCGUAAUUUUUUUUGAGAGUUCAAAUCGAUAAAAGAGAUUGCGACCUCGAUGUUGGAUUAAAA
rnacentral:rRNA from 1 species